UGGGGAAUUGUUCACAAUGGGCGCAAGCCUGAUGACGCAACGCCGCGUGGGGGAUGAAGGUCUUCGGAUUGUAAACCCCUGUCGAAUGGGACGAAAGACUCGCGAGUUAAUACUUCGCGGGAGUGACGGUACCGUUAAAGGAAGCCACGGCUAACUCUGUGCCAGCAGCCGCGGUAAUACAGAGGUGGCAAGCGUUGUUCGGAAUUACUGGGCGUAAAGGGCGCGUAGGCGGCCUACUAAGUCAGACGUGAAAUCCCCCGGCUUAACCUGGGAACUGCGUCUGAUACUGGAAGGCUUGAGUAUGGGAGAGGGAUGUAGAAUUCCAGGUGUAGCGGUGAAAUGCGUAGAUAUCUGGAGGAAUACCGGUGGCGAAGGCGGCAUCCUGGACCAUUACUGACGCUGAGGCGCGAAAGCUAGGGGAGCAAACGGGAUUAGAUACCCAAGAGUCCCUGAGCGGGCUGGCAAGGCGCAU
rnacentral:rRNA from 1 species